CACAUGGGUCACAUGAGAAGAGAGUCCACAGAACUAGCUUAACCUUACCUUCUGUUUUUACAGAAGUGUAUUUAGUCAUUGUGUGAGACAUUC
rnacentral:snoRNA from 1 species